GGAUAUUUAGUUUAUUUAAAACAAAUGUUUUGAAAGCAUUAAAAGGAAAUUCUUUCCAGUCUCCG
rnacentral:tRNA from 1 species